rnacentral:rRNA from 1 species
AUUGAACGCUGGCGGCAGGCCUAACACAUGCAAGUCGAACGGUAACAGGAAGAAGCUUGCUUCUUUGCUGACGAGUGGCGGACGGGUGAGUAAUGUCUGGGAAACUGCCUGAUGGAGGGGGAUAACUACUGGAAACGGUAGCUAAUACCGCAUAACGUCGCAAGACCAAAGAGGGGGACCUUCGGGCCUCUUGCCAUCGGAUGUGCCCAGAUGGGAUUAGCUAGUAGGUGGGGUAACGGCUCACCUAGGCGACGAUCCCUAGCUGGUCUGAGAGGAUGACCAGCCACACUGGAACUGAGACACGGUCCAGGCUCCUACGGGAGGCAGCAGUGGGGAAUAUUGCACAAUGGGCGCAAGCCUGAUGCAGCCAUGCCGCGUGUAUGAAGAAGGCCUUCGGGUUGUAAAGUACUUUCAGCGGGGAGGAAGGGAGUAAAGUUAAUACCUUUGCUCAUUGACGUUACCCGCAGAAGAAGCACCGGCUAACUCCGU